AAGGUCCGUCCCCGAGAGGAGAAGAAUCCGGACCGCCGUCUAAGGUCCCGAAGUUUUGCCUAAGUUAGUCUAACGAAGUAUGUUCCCGGUGACAGCCAGGAUGUUGGCUUGGAAGCAGCCAUUCAUUCAAAGAGUGCGUAACAGCUCACUGGUCGAGGGUUCGAGCAUGGAUAAUAAUCGGGUAUAAGUCAGAAACCGAAGACACGGGAUAGCAUUGUAUAUAAAAAGUAUCGGUAGGGGAGCAUUCCAUCGGCGCAGAAUGGUGAAAGUAAUUGAUCCUGGAGCUUAUGGAAAAGCAAAUGUAGGUAUAAGUAACGAUAAGAGAGGUAAGAUUCCUCUCCGCCGUAAGACUAAGGUUUCCCGGGCUAUGCCAAUCAACCCGGGGUUAGUCGGGUCCUAAGUCGUAGCCUAAAGGCGAAGGCGAUGGUCGACACGGUUAAUAUUCCGUGACUUGCUUUAAGAGCGAUGUGGUGACGUAGUAGUGAUACCGCCGCGCCCUGACGGAAUAGGGCGUUGACGAAUUUAGGCGUUGAUUGAGGCAGGCAAAUCCACCUCAAGAGCUGAUAUUCUAGAGUACACCAAAUUCCUCGGAAUUUAGUGAUAGCGCGGGUAACCCCACUACCAAGAAAAACCGCUAAGCAUAUGUUAAAGCAACCCGUACCGUAAACGGACACACGUAGUCGGGUAGAAUAUACUCAGGCGUUGAGCUAUUCAUGGUUAAGGAACUAGGCAAAUUGACCCCGUACCUUCGGAAUAAGGGGUCCUCAUAGCAAUAUGAGGCGCAGAGAAUAGGUCCAGGCAACUGUUUAACAAAAACACAGGGCUGUGCAAACUCGAAAGAUGACGUAUACAGCCUGACACCUGCCCGGUGCCGGAAGGUUAAGAGGAGAGCUCAUCCGUAAGGUGAAGGUUUGAAUUGAAGCCCCGGUAAACGGCGGCCGUAACUAUAACGGUCCUAAGGUAGCGAAAUUCCUUGUCGGGUAAGUUCCGACCUGCACGAAUGGUGUAAUGAUCCGGACACUGUCUCAACCAUGAUUCCGGUGAAAUUGUAGUAUCGGUGAAGAUGCCGAUUACCCGCGAUGGGACGAAAAGACCCCGUGAACCUUUACUAUAGCUUAGCAUUGACCUUGGUCAUCCGAUGUGUAGGAUAGGCCGGAGGCUUUGAAGCGCGGGCGCCAGCCUGUGUGGAGCCAUCCUUGAAAUACGGCCCUUUGGCUGUCUGAGGUCUAACUCGAAGAAUCGAGGACACUGCUUGGUGGGCAGUUUGACUGGGGUGGUCGCCUCCAAAAGCGUAACGGAGGCUUC
rnacentral:rRNA from 1 species